rnacentral:rRNA from 1 species
UACGUAGGGGGCAAGCGUUGUUCGGAUUUACUGGGCGUAAAGGGUGCGUAGGCGGCGCGGUAAGUCGGGUGUGAAAUCUCGGAGCUUAACUCCGAAACUGCAUUCGAUACUGCCGUGCUUGAGGACUGGAGAGGAGACUGGAAUUUACGGUGUAGCGGUGAAAUGCGUAGAUAUCGUAAGGAAGACCAGUGGCGAAGGCGGGUCUCUGGACAGUUCCUGACGCUGAGGCACGAAGGUCAGGGGAGCAAACGGG